rnacentral:rRNA from 1 species
CCUACGGGAUGCCGCAGUAGGGAAUCUUCCACAAUGGGCGAAAGCCUGAUGGAGCAACGCCGCGUGGGUGAAGAAGGUCUUCGGAUCGUAAAACCCUGUUGUUAGAGACGAAAGUGCGUGCGAGUAACUGUUCACGUUUCGACGGUAUCUACCCAGAAAGCCACGGCUAACUACGUGCCAGCAGCCGCGGUAAUACGUAGGUGGCAAGCGUUAUCCGGAUUUAUUGGGCGGAAAGGGAACGCAGGCGGUCUUUUAAGUCUGAUGUGAAAGCCUUCGGCUUAACCGGAGUAGUGCAUUGGAAACUGGGAGACUUGAGUGCAGAAGAGGAGAGGGGAACUCCAUGUGUAGCGGUGAAAUGCGUAGAUAUAGGGAAGAACACCAGUGGCGAAAGCGGCUCGCUGGUCUGUAACUGACGCUGAGGUGCGAAAGCGUGGGUAGCAAACAGGAUUAGAUACCCCGGUAGUC